rnacentral:rRNA from 1 species
GACGAACGCUGGCGGCGUGCUUAACACAUGCAAGUCGAACGCUGAAGCUCAGCUUGCUGGGUGGAUGAGUGGCGAACGGGUGAGUAACACGUGAGUAACCUGCCCUCUUCUUUGGGAUAACGCCCGGAAACGGGUGCUAAUACUGGAUAUUCACUGAUUCUCGCAUGGGGGUUGGUGGAAAGGUUUUUUCUGGUGGGGGAUGGGCUCGCGGCCUAUCAGCUUGUUGGUGGGGUGAUGGCCUACCAAGGCUUUGACGGGUAGCCGGCCUGAGAGGGUGACCGGUCACAUUGGGACUGAGAUACGGCCCAGACUCCUACGGGAGGCAGCAGUGGGGAAUAUAGCACAAUGGGCGAAAGCCUGAUGCAGCGACGCCGCGUGAGGGAUGGAGGCCUUCGGGGUGUAAACCUCUUUCGCUCAUGGUCAAGCCGCAGCUUUGGGUUGUGGUGAGGGUAGUGGGUAAAGAAGCGCCGGCUAACUACGUG